UACGUAGGGGGGCAAGCGUUGUCCGGAAUCAUUGGGCGUAAAGAGCUCGUAGGCGGUUUGUCGCGUCUGCUGUGAAAACUCGGGGCUUAACUCCGGGCCUGCAGUGGGUACGGGCAGACUAGAGUGCGGUAGGGGAGACUGGAAUUCCCAGUGUAGCGGUGAAAUGCGUAGAUAUUGGGAGGAACACCGGUGGCGAAGGCGGCCCCCUGGACCGGUACUGACGCUGAGGCGCGAAAGCGUGGGUAGCAAACGGG
rnacentral:rRNA from 1 species